CCUACGGGAGGCAGCAGUGGGGAAUAUUGGGCAAUGGGCGCAAGCCUGACCCAGCAACGCCGCGUGAAGGAAGAAGGCUUUCGGGUUGUAAACUUCUUUUCUCAGGGACGAAGCAAGUGACGGUACCUGAGGAAUAAGCCACGGCUAACUACGUGCCAGCAGCCGCGGUAAUACGUAGGUGGCAAGCGUUAUCCGGAUUGACUGGGUGUAAGGGGCGUGUAGGCGGGAAAGCAAGUCAGAUGUGAAAACCAUGGGCUCAACCUGUGGCCUGCAUUUGAAACUGUUUUUCUUGAGUACUGGAGAGGCAGACGGAAUUCCUAGUGUAGCGGUGAAAUGCGUAGAUAUUAGGAGGAACACCAGUGGCGAAGGCGGUCUGCUCGACAGCAACUGACGCUGAGGCGCGAAAGCGUGGGGAGCAAACAGGAUUAGAUACCCUUGUAGUC
rnacentral:rRNA from 1 species